rnacentral:rRNA from 1 species
AUGGACACGUCGAGCCGGAGGCGCCGGAGCCUGGAGCGGUCAGGCUCCGUGCUGCCAAGGUCGUUCGAAGUGCCCGACCCAAAGCCAGCCCCUGCAGCGGCCGCCAUCACCAAUGCCACGGUGUCCCCGCUGACCGGCAACUCAGAGUUCUACCACUUCCACCAUGCCGAAGACCUGCUCGACCAACGGUUCAGCUCAAACUCUCUCGUCGAAGACUUCCCGGCGACCCUAGACGCCGCGUUCCCGGGCCCUACCAAGAAGCCACGGCGUCUAGGCAAGGCGUGGAGCUUCUGGGGCUUCAUACACCGCCGGGCCACGGGCCGCCGGGGCAGCCCGUCCGACGCCGCGGACCACGCGUUCUCGGAGCCGUGGCCGGAGCUGCGCGUCCGCGGGUACAUCAACGCCGGGAUGCAGAGGUGCAACAGCAACGCCAGCGCGCGCAGCUCAUUCAGCAGCAACAGCGCCGGCCUGGGCAGCUCGCGGCGCUGCUUCGUCGACGGCCACGGCAGCGUCAAGCGGCGACAGGAAGACCAGUGCGUGCUGGAGCGGAACCGCAGCGCUCGGUACUCGCCGGGGCACCACGCCGACAACGGCAUGCUGCGGUUCUACCUGACCCCGCUGCGGAGCGCCAGCGGCCGGCGCGGCGCCACCGGGCUGCCGGCCAACGGCGGCCGGCACCUGCGGUCGCAGUCGUUCGCGAGGAGCAUGCUCCGGCUGUACUGA